rnacentral:piRNA from 1 species
UGGAAGGCCAAAGACAAGGGCUAACAUGGU